rnacentral:rRNA from 1 species
UUACCUUUCAUGCAGCAGAAUCGGGAUGGUUGAGUAUCUCGCCUCUCAGUUCUGCCUGUAUUCUACCCUUGUUUCUCUUACACUAUUAUUUCCUCGGCAGGCUUGCCUGCCGAGUGAAACCACUUAUAACCUAUUUAAUUUUCAAUCAGCGUCUGAAAACUAUAAUAAUUACAACUUUCAACAACGGAUCUCUUGGUUCUGGCAUCGAUGAAGAACGCAGCGAAAUGCGAUAAGUAGUGUGAAUUGCAGAAUUCAGUGAAUCAUCGAAUCUUUGAACGCACAUUGCGCCCCUUGGUAUUCCAUGGGGCAUGCCUGUUCGAGCGUCAUUUGUACCUUCAAGCUUUGCUUGGUGUUGGGUGUUUGUCCUGAGGGACUCGCCUUAAAGUAAUUGGCAGCCAGUGUUUUGGUUUUGAAGCGCAGCACAAGUCGCGAUUCAAAGCUAUACGCCAGCUUGCACAAGCCUUUUUGACUUUUGACCUCGGAUCAGGUAGGGAUACCCGCUGAACUUUAGCAUAUCAAUAAGCGGAGGAAAGGCAAA